UUUUUUUUUUUUUUUUGCCAGUAACGAUACAUUUGUAUAACUUAUUCUAUCCUAAUCUAGGGGAGGGGGAGCCUAAGGAGGCUAUGAUAGGGGUUAGUGGGUAUACAGAUCCAACUAGACCAAGGAAGUGCUAUGACACAACCCUUAGAUUUUUUUCGCUGCUGGUUAGGUUUGAACCCAAGGAGGGACUUAAGCUCCUCUCUGAUGGCCAGUGAGCCAUUGGCCCAGUGGUAAAUUAAGUUGGAUAUUCAGGGUCCAUUUGGCACGAUGUAAAAUGUUUUGAACGACAAUUUGUUAGCAGCAAACGUGGUAAAAGGGUCAAGUUGAAUAUGGUGAUCACUGGUGACAAGGGCAAAUGACUAGAAGAGUUCUCAACUUUGGUUCUUACUAUUUAUUUAUUUAUAAGUGAUCGGAAUUCGAAUCUUUUACUUGCAAUUCCUCUUCUUUUACUAUCCAAUCCAACUCUUCCCUAAUAGAUUUGGUUCUUAGAAAUUUAUUUUGUGCCGUUAUAAGCUUCAAAUUUUUACGUUGCAAUAAUUUAGUCCCUCACAUUUGACCGAUCAAUAAAGAGCAAAAAUGGAUAUGAACAUCAUAGUGUGGAUAAUUACAUAACAUUCACCAAACAAAUUGAUUUAAUCCCUUCUUUAUCCACCACCAAAACCAUACCAUCGUUAUACAAAAUGUUAAAGAGUUUUUCAUUUGUGAAUGACGAAAAAUCACAUUAAUAUGCGAGUGUGAAAGACAUAAAAUGUAUAAAAUCAAUAUGUGAGGAACGAUUAAUCAUCAUUUCACAUGUAAAAGAUAAUAAAAUAUAUAAAACCACUAUGCGAGGAUGAAAAAUCGUCCUUUCAUAUGUGAUAGAUGUAAACGGUACAAAACCAAUAUGUGAAGUACUAAUUUUAUAAUUUUUUCAAAUAAGAAUUAGAUCCAAAAAUUUUGUCAUAUGACACAUGUGAGAUAAAAAAGCUUAAUUGAAAAAUAAAAUUAAUGAAAAGCAUGUUUAUGAUGUAACUACAGAUUUUUUUGUUAAAAAGAAAAAACUAUCCAAACCAAAACUUUUUUUCCCAAAUAACCAAAACUUUUUUUCCAAAUAAAAAGUUUGAUGACUAAAUUGCUGAUGAAGCCCAUUUGCUAGGAGGGGCUUCCUAUAUUCUUUUGCCGUCUUGUCUAAAGUAAGAACACGAACAAAAAAUUCUCAUCAUUUUUAGGCCUAUCAGCCAUAACACAAAGCGCCCAGAACAGUUACUCGGGGCGACAAGGACAAAACUUUUAGGUCCAUCUCUUCAUAGCCUCCAGUAACAUUUAGGUAAAACAAACACACUUGACAUGGAUUUGGUUUUUUGGAGGAAGAUGAAUAGUUGAAUUUGCGCCAUUCUAUCCAGCAACAACAAAAUCGAACUAAAACUAGUUUGGAUAGUGUAUUAUUUGGAAUAUUAUUUGGAAUAAUUACUGUAGCACUUUUUGUGAUGUGAUGUAUGUGAGAUAAAAAGGUGGUUGGAAAUAUAAAAAGGUGGGUUGGAAAAUGUGUCUAUGAUGCAAGCGAAAUAUUAUUUGGGAUAAUUGAGGUAUCCAAACAAACCCACUGGGGAUUUUAUGGACUUGGGGAUUUUAUGGACACUAAACAAAUACAGGCAGAAACAUCAAAUAGAUUUCUUCUACAAAUCAGGACCGGGACUAUCUCAACGAACGCACGUAUCCCAAAAUAAUUGUCCUUCACUGUUUGACUCAUGUCUAACAUAAAAUUAGUUAAACUAGAAAAGUCCCCUUGAAUGGACAGGGCAGGUAUACUUUUUUUUAUUAUUUUUUUUAUCAGACAGCCACAGUUAAUCUACCCUAUUCCUAUUUUAGCGUACACUGCAUGGGGCUCAACAGAACUUAAAAAAAUCGAUGAGAACUGAAUUAACAUCGAGUCAGACGAGUGCACUAUGCGUGCACUCAUAUGAAUUUAUAAGAAACCACGUAUACUACUCAGCCGUAUAAGUUUAGAAGAAAUAAUGACACAUACAGGCAAGUAUGCUUGAUUGUCUAACUUACUGAUGUGCCCUUUUUUUUCCCAAAGGAUGGGAUCACCCUUAUCAGUGCGCACACACUCACGUUUAAUGCACUCCUAUAUUUAGACGUUUUCUUAAAUUAGUUUCACUUUUGCUACAAAUUAACACCUAAAACAUCUCUUACCAAAACACCUCCCUCCGACCCCCCCCCCCUCCCAAAAAAAAAACACAAAGAAAAAACCCAUCCCCAAACAAAUACAACUUUUUUUUGGGUGAUUACCCCCCCCCCCAACAGAAUAGAGCUCUCUUUCCUUCACAUUUUCAAGGGGGUUCACUUGUAAUUUGUAAAGUGGCUGAUUCUAAAGUAGGUCGAGCACAAUGUAAUUCACUCCAAGCAACAGCCUCUACCACCAAGAAAUUUAAAUCUCGAUAGGAUGGGAGAUCAGGGUUCAAUCCUUGCUUCCGACCUUGCCACUUAAUUGUGGCUUCCUCUAACAAGAUUUUCCCAUUGGCUUCCCCUCAUCUUAGAUUAUGCUAAAAUAGAUUAUACAAAUAUUAUUAUUGCGACAAAAAAAAAAGCAAUGUAAUUCACUCCAUCCAAAAAAUAAUAACAAAAAUCAGCGGGGAAAGCAAACACGAAACUGAACCCGUUGCUCCUAAUGAAGCAUGCAAACAAUCUCAAAUACCAAAAUAUGCACCUACAUUACCAUGUGAUUUCUCCUAUCAUAAUACCAUCAAGUUUACCUGUAUUACCAUGUGAUUCUCCUCUUCUAUUCAAAAGCAUAGCUAACCCCUCAGGAGUGACCACAUGAAGGUUCCAAUAUGCAAUCCAAUCAAUACUCUCAGCACUAUCGAGGGGACUAUCAGGUCAAGAAAGGACUAGAAAUUUGUGCAUCAAAGGAGAAACAAAGGAACAAGGUGAUGAAUCGUUUUUCCUAACAUCACCACAGCUCAAGAGUUACCAACAACGUGGUAAGGAGGGAGAAAAUUCUCCUAGUAACAUCACACUUCUUAAGCUUGAGUAGAAGGAAAAUCUAUAGAUCGUUUAGACACUUAACAGAUUUCAGCCAACAAGGAAAUAAAAGAUCAUAUAAAGUAACAUCAACAACAAAAUAGAAGAUGUGGUAGCAAGAUGACACCAUGCUUUGGAAUCAAACUAUUCUAUAAUACAACAAACACUAGAACGCAACUUCUAGUGUCGAAGGCUGAAGACUCAGAAACUAGAGGUCCUGACAGCUUCUUGAAUCUAAUCCUUUCCCUACUUGAGUAAAAAAAAAAAAAGUAAUCAAAGCAAUAAAUUCAAGCCUUCCCAAGAGAAUAAUUCCAUUACCAAUCAAGGCGUACUGAAUUUCAAGUAUAAAGUGGCCAAUCAGUCCACGCCCCAGAAACAUGACCAUUCUCACACACAUAAGCUCGAACAACUGGCUCGCCGUCGUCGUGAUAGCCAAAAUACCUCCGCAAACAAAACGCAGAAUGCAGAUCCCACGUCUGUUUACAAGAGCAGAAAGCGCAAUGCAGCUCAAUCUUGCUCCUGUGGCCAUCAUUUAUCGUCCUCCAAACCCUUGACUGCUUGAAGUUCUUGAAAAUCCCUCGAAAAAGCAUAUAGUUACGCUUCUCUUCGAUGUGGACACAACCGGGCCAAUCACAAAUAUACAAGCAAUCCCCUUUGAAUCGACUUGCAAGCAAUUUAUUCCCCUGCUCGCGGCUCAAGUUCCAGACCCCCUGAGCCAAAUGAGACAUAAGAGAUCUACAGAUUUUCCUCCUCUUACGACCACGAAAGUCACACGAAGGUUUCACCACCCCUCUCUCGGGCUCCACAGGCAGUUCGGGCCGUUCUUCGGAGGAUUCAGAAGCAUCAUAAACAGUAUCAAACAGAAGAUCAUCAAACAAAGACCAAGAACAAUCCGGCCCAGAAGCAGUUACAUCGGAAUUAACAUCCCUGUUGCUCGAGCAGGGAGCAGCUGAUCGGAAGAUCGCAGAGACCUGGUAAUUCUCGUCUGGCCCAAGCUCACGUUCGAGCCCGAAAUCAGAAUUUUCCAAGAGGACGCCAGCUUGGAGGAGACCCGGGCAGCAGACUGCUAGCUUGUAAAGAGAAGCCCAGCCGCCAGGAGGGACGGCGGAGGGGGAAGCAGAGGUGGACAGAAGAUCGUUGACAACGGAGGGGAUGGUCUGAGAGCACUUAGAUUUACAGCACACGUUUCGGAUCAGAGACGAGAAUUUAGUGGAGACGCAGGCGAGGCGGGCCCAGUUCCGAGGAUCGUCUUCAAGUUUGAAGAAUAUGUUGAGAACAACGUCAUCUGAGAGCCUCGAGAAGCCGCUUUCAGACAUGGUGUACGGUUCACCAACAAAUGGAUAACAGUAGCUCAGCCGGGGUUCUCCGAUUCCGAUUCUGGGAGAAAAGAAAAUCAGGCAGGAGUUGGAUAUGGAAUUGGGAAGAGGCGAAAGGGUGUCUUCUAGUGUUUAUGAAGAGGUUCCAAUGCGAUGGACUGCUGAGCCAACAGACGAGAUUACGUAUCCCAUGUGUGGACACCAGAAGAGAGAGAGAGAUAGGACGGAUUGUUGGUCUUUUUACCCUCUUUUAUCUUUAUAUUGGAUGGGGGUGGCGGAGAGAGAUGGGCAGAAGCCGAGGGAAAGAGAGGUGGUGGUGGUGGUGGCGGUGGUGGUGGGCGAAUUUAAUGAGUGAGUGGUUGAAACGUGAAAGGAGACGGGAGGCAGUCUCUGGAUUCAAAGACCCUUCACUGACUUCAGUGGAUAAAGCCAAGAAGGAAGCAGGCGCCGGCGGUGCACAAAUUGUGCUGAGUCCCCAGCAUACAUUACCUCGUAUCCUAUCCUAAUAAAUACUAACUAGUGUAAAUACCUGUGCUAUGCACGUUGCUGACAUUAUUGAAAAAAUGAAAAUAAAAUGGUGAAUUAAAAAAGGUUAAAAAAUUAUACCAACAUAAUUAAAAUAUAAUAUCUGUCUAACAAUAGUUUGAAAUAUGAUAGAACGUGUAUAUUAUUCAAAAAUUACCUUUUUUCGGAAGAUAGAUCCUGAAAAAAUAAUAGAAAUUUAUAUUAGAAAAUGAAUGAUAUAUGAAUAAAAAUGCAUGUAAUUAAAUAUUGUUAAAAUGAAAUACUUACAAAUAUUAUGCAUUCGAUUUGAUAAUCUUGCAUGAAGGUGUGAACACUCUUUACACUAAUCAACUUUUAAUACGAAAGCCAAAAUUGGUGAUUUAAUUAAUUCUGUUGAAUUUUGUGGAAUGCGUACUACAAAUGAAAAUGCACGAUCUUUGCAUGAAUUGAUUCGUUGGUUGAACAACCUAUCACCAUUGUCCUGAGAAUUAAGUACGUGCGAAAUUUAAAAUUAGUGUAUUUUUUUCCAUAGUUUAUAAAUAGCGUUAUAAAAAAUAAACAUAUAUUAAGAAAUUUUAUCUUCCUUUGUAAUUCUCUAAGAUAAGAAGCAUCACAACCAAAUACGAAUCGUGCAUGUCUGUCCUGUAGAUUAAGAUGCAUGUUACUAUUGGAAUCUUUGAUUUGUAUGUUAACAUUGUACCUGUUUGACAAAUAAAAUGUUAUAUACAAUACAGAAAAAUUUGUUGAAAUUAAAGGUACAUAAAAUUAAUUAUCUAACAACAGUGUCUACCACGUCAUUACAAUGCAUACACACUGUUUUUGAAAAAUGACAUUCACGUAGUUAUCCACAAUUUUUGCAUAAUUCAUAGAACAUAUUUUCUAUGUUAAUACUUUGAAUGUAAGCAAGUAUUCGAAAAUAUUUAACAUAGUAAGAAUGAAAAAAGGUAUAGGUUAUGAUUAUAAAUUUAAAAAAUUUGUGCAAUAAUUAAAUUAAAUAGAGUAAGUUUACUGUAUGCAUGAUUGUAUAUUUGGAUAUCCAUACUCUCUUUGAAUUUGCUAUCAACAAUGCUUGUGAUGUUAUAAAAUUACUUGACUUCAACCACAUAACUAACUUUCGAGCACAUGUAUUAUUUUCAAACCUACAAUUUUUUGAAAUACAUAUUGAUAAGAGUAUGAAACAACAUUAAAAGUUUAAUGUAGUGUUACUGAUGGAACUCACCAACUGCACAGGUAUCGAGCAAAAUCUAAAUUGUGAUUGAUAUACAAUUUGUUAGCUCCAAUUGUACAAAGUGAUGGUUCUGUAUAGUAUGGUUAUAGUCACUAAAAAACUAUUCAAAUUAUAAAGAGUAUAAGUAAAAGCAUUUGAUUUACCUCUGAAAUUUCGUACGCAAAUACCACAUGCUAGUAAAAUAUUAUUUUUUGUAGCAGAUUGAUAUUAUAGGAUUUGUAGUAUAUUCAAUAACUUGAUACUCAAAUCACCGAUGAAGCAAAAUUUGCCUAAAUAAGCUUUACAAUGUCCUAACUCCUUGGAAAAAAAAAGUGCUAAAUAGUCCUAAUUGACAUCGCAAGUUACCACAACGUGCCAGUGGCAUCUAGGCCUAAUUUUUUUUUUUUUUGUCAAAAUCUAGUCCUAAUUGGUUUUACUGUUUCUUGAUCAUGUUGUAUGCUUCCGAAUUAAAAUUGUAUUAAAAUAGCAUGUGAAUGAGCAUUUAUCUUUAAUUAAGGAGUAAAAAGGAUUUAAAGUAUAAAUAACAAACUAUACACGGUUUAUAAAGUAGACUAUGGGAAAGUUUUAAAUUUUAAAUUUAACUGGUGAUAGGGUUGGUUAUAACCCACUACUUUUUAUGUAUUAAAAUAAAUACAAAAAUAUAGACAAAAAUCUAUAACCCACUACUUGUUCCUUUCUUGGGAUUUUUUUAGGGUUAAAUAUAGUAAACUCCUUAACUUUACAUUUAACUGUACUUUACCCCCUCAACUUUAUAUUUAGUUGCACAUUUGUGAUUUUUUUGAAACGUAAUUGUAAUUUGCAAAGCUCAUUUGUAGGGUUGGUUAUAGGGUUAGUGUGGUGACAAAUAUUUCUUAAUUAUAAAAAUAUAACAUUGUAUUAAAAUAGCAUACGAAUGAGCAUUUGUCUUUAAUUAAGGAGUAAAAAUGAUUUAAAGUAUAAAUAACAAACUAUAAACGAUUUAUGAAGUAGAUAGUGGGGAUGUUUUAAAUUUUAAAUUUGAUUAGUAAUAGGAUUGGUUAUAACCCACUACUUUUUAUGUAUUAAAAUAAAUACAAAAAUUUAAAAAAAAGAAUGAGAAGUUUGGAAGUCAUUGAGAGGGUGUUUGCUAAAAACCCAUUCUGCAAUACAUAUAGAUAUAGAUUGCGAUCUCAACUGUCAAGUGCGAACUCUGCUGUUUCUUUCCUUCGCCACAUACAUACGUAUAAGGCCAUAGUGGAACACAAACAAUGGGCUGGGCUUUUUAUUAUUAUAACUACACUAUUUUAGCAAGUGGCAAAUUGAAGCAGUUGCUGUCCAAAUUGCUUCUUUUUUCUUUUUUUUUUGGCUUUGAAUGAUAACCACGUUUAAAAAUAUUUACUGCCAAAUAACGGCCGUUCUAGCCGGUAAUGCCGACAAAUUUGGUUAGUUCAACUCCUGGAGAAUGCGUCAACAUUCUUCCUCCAUAUCUCUAACAGAAAAACUUGCUAAUAUAAUUAAAGUAUAUCAUUCUCUGAACACAUCUUUUAAAUAACUUUACAUACGUUGCAACAUAAAAAGUAAUGCAGUAAAUAACAAUUCUAUAACUCAUCCUUUUCUUUGAUUCAUUAAUGAUACAGUGUGUAGACUGCACAUCUGGUAGCUCGAGAAGAUAACCAAUCAUUUCAUGCCACUUGCAAAAAGACAACCCUGCCUGAAGCGGGCGGCUUUCCUUAUCUGGAUGGUGCGGCCCAAUCUGCGUUAACGCAGGACGUUUCCUCUCCAUUGAAGAAGGGAAUUGUCGAUGCUCAAACUAACAUCCGCCACACAUUUUGAGGAGGACGCCAAUUCCUAGGUUGCUUUGGGCAUUCCUUGUCGCUGUGGCACAUGCACAUUCUGCGCUGUUGACAAGAAGACCUUUCACUGUGCAGAUGAUAUUCUGAUCAAAUAAAAAGUUCAAACAAAAUUUGCCCAUCCUAUAGGCAAAUCAACGUGACUACUGAUUACCUUGAAUACUUCCCAGCAGGCACCCAGUGACAGGAAAAAAAAAAAAUACUAUACCAACACUAACAUAUUUUGACAUCCUACAUCUAGCCUAUUAAAAGGAACGACCCAUUGCUUUGCUGCAAAUCAACAAAUGACCUGCACGUACGAGGAGUACCAGUAACGGUGGCUGGCUGCGUGCAUAGGCUAUGGAGGGAGUCAAAUUGACUAACCAAACUAGAAGAUUGGUUAUUCUAGGUUGGUGCUACUGCUAAAGAAUAAUAAUCUCGUGUAAUCAGAAUUAUCUGGCCCAAUAUAGACAGCAAUUAAAGGAACCACUCGGAGAAUCUGUAGCGCCACAAGGAAAUGUUAUAGUUAAUCGAGGACCAAGCCAUCUGCAGGCCCUCCACGAAAUAUUAAUUCAUGAUUACAUCUGGACAAAAUGCCAAAUUCAACAUUCCACCAUUCUCGCGAUCAAAUGUCCCGCAACAUGCCCAUACAAGAAAACACAAAAUAAAAUGGUUCCUCAUACAUCAAUAACUCUGUUAACCACGAUUGACAACCAACUGCAGAUCCUAAUACGCAUCUAAUCC
rnacentral:lncRNA from 1 species